UACGAAGGGUGCAAGCGUUACUCGGAAUUACUGGGCGUAAAGCGUGCGUAGGUGGUUCGUUAAGUCUGUCGUGAAAGCCCCGGGCUCAACCUGGGAAUGGCGAUGGAUACUGGCGAGCUAGAGUGCGGUAGAGGAGAGUGGAAUUCCCGGUGUAGCAGUGAAAUGCGUAGAGAUCGGGAGGAACAUCAGUUGCGAAGGCGGCUCUCUGGACCAGCACUGACGCUGAGGUGCGAAAGCGUGGGGAGCAAACAGG
rnacentral:rRNA from 1 species